rnacentral:rRNA from 1 species
AUUGAACGCUGGCGGCAUGCUUUACACAUGCAAGUCGAACGGCAGCGCGGGCUUCGGCCUGGCGGCGAGUGGCGAACGGGUGAGUAAUACAUCGGAACGUGCCCAGUAGUGGGGGAUAGCUCGGCGAAAGCCGGAUUAAUACCGCAUACGACCUGAGGGUGAAAGCGGGGGAUCUUCGGACCUCGCGCUAUUGGAGCGGCCGAUGGCGGAUUAGCUAGUUGGUGGGGUAAAGGCCUACCAAGGCGACGAUCUGUAGCUGGUCUGAGAGGACGACCAGCCACACUGGGACUGAGACACGGCCCAGACUCCUACGGGAGGCAGCAGUGGGGAAUUUUGGACAAUGGGCGAAAGCCUGAUCCAGCAAUGCCGCGUGCGUGAUGAAGGCCUUCGGGUUGUAAAGCACUUUUGGCGGGAACGAAAAGGACUGUGCCAAUACCACGGUUCGAUGACGGUACCCGCAGAAUAAGCACCGGCUAACUACGUG